GGAGGAAUUUUGCGCAAUGGGGGAAACCCUGACGCAGCGACGCCGCGUGGAGGAUGAAGGCCUUCGGGUCGUAAACUCCUGUCAGAGGUGAAGAAUGCCCGCAAGGGUUUGACGGUAACCUCAGAGGAAGCCCCGGCUAACUACGUGCCAGCAGCCGCGGUAAUACGUAGGGGGCAAACGUUACUCGGAAUUACUGGGCGUAAAGGGUGCGUAGGCGGCUGGGAAAGUCAAGGAUGAAAUCCCGUGGCUCAACUGCGGAACGGUCCUUGAAACUACUCGGCUUGAGGAUAACCGAAGAGAACGGAAUUCCCGGUGGAGCGGUGAAAUGCGUAGAUAUCGGGAGGAACACCUGAGGCGAAAGCGGUUCUCUAGACUACUCCUGACGCUGAGGCACGAAAG
rnacentral:rRNA from 1 species